UACGGAGGAUCCAAGCGUUAUCCGGAUUAUUGGGUUUAAAGGGUGCGUAGGCGGCCUAUUAAGUCAGGGGUGAAAGACGGUAGCUUAACUAUCGCAGUGCCUUUGAUACUGAUGGGCUUGAAUGUACUUGAGGUAGGCGGAAUGUGACAAGUAGCGGUGAAAUGCAUAGAUAUGUCACAGAACACCAAUUGCGAAGGCAGCUUACUAAAGUAUGAUGACGCUGAGGCACGAAAGCGUGGGGAUCAAACAGG
rnacentral:rRNA from 1 species